GCCACUGCGAUCUCUGCAACAACUCUGCAAACAAAUUUUGCAAGAUAAAUUCUGCAGGGGGCUUUCAGAAAAAAAUACUUUCGUGUUUUAUGAAAAAGUCCUUUUAUAAGAUAAUGUUUUUAUAAGAUAAUGCCGGGGAAGGUUUUCCGGUUUAUCC
rnacentral:misc_RNA from 1 species